UUGUACGAGGCUAAGAAACAGGUGUAAUGCGAGCAUAAGCCGGCUAUUACUUCUGUUUCGAGCCGAGUACAAAUACCGCUGAUAUUUUAAGACACUGAACAGUUAUUGACUUUAUCCUGAAAUUAAUUCUGUUAUUGUUUGUCUUUUGAAUGACACAAACAAUCACUUUAUUUUGCAUUUAUUUUCGAUUUGAAAUCCCCUGAGGCAAGAGUAGUAAAAUUAAAUCACAUAUUCAGCUGGAGAUUGGUUAUCAAAAAAAGAAUCUGGAAUGGUCAACAAUAAUACAUCGCUCAAGAAUUGCAGGGCAAUAUACAGUUACUGAUCUUUUAUGAACACAACGAUUAGAAUUAAAAUACACAUAGGUAGAAAAGAGGCUAUAAAUUGUACAUGUACAGUGACAAAUGAUAACAGUGUGAAUGUGAAAAAUUGUGAGCUCUGCACAUCGUCCUCAAGCAAUUUUCGUGCUAAUGGCAGAAUAAAGUAAUUAAAAUAGCUGCCAAGGGGGAAAUCAUCAGAAAUUUAUGUAAAGAGGAACCUCCUAAAAGAAAAGACAAUUCUGAAACAAAAUCAACUAAUGUACAAAAGAUUGAUGAAACUCAUCAACAAAGGACAAACAACACAAAAACCUC